CCCUUCUUCCCUGUGAAAAUACUUUAGAAUGAUCUUAACCUUUUCACAGCAACAGUAGCAGAUGAUGAUAGUAAAGUGCUGCAGGCAACAUAACCACAGACAUACAAACUCAAAACAUUAAGCAUUUUCAAUGUAAGCAGACCUCAGGAGUGUUUAGCUGUCAGAAUCCUAAGGUUAUGAAAUAUUUCUUAACUUUAGUUUCAGAUAAAAAUAAAGUUUGACAGAAGUUCUUAAAUCCUAAGCUAUACAAUCUAAACAUAUUUUUGUUGUGGGAAUUUAGUCCACUUUCCAGUAUUAAAAAAUGUUAUGUCAUUCAGAUAGAUCAAUGUUUCCACAAGGAUAGCUGGUAUGACGCAGAGCAUUUUAUUUUUUACUAAAUAAAAAAUAUGAUAAGAAAUAAAUCUUUAUUUAUUCUAAAUAAAUAGAAUUUCUAAAUAAAAAAUUUAGAAAUUCUAAAUAAAUUUUGUUGUCUCCAGAUUAGCAGGAUCACAGUCUUCCACUUCCUAUGCAGUGCUAUAUAACAAAGUAUCUAUCUCACUGUGUUUUUACCUGAUUUGAAUUUUCAGUCUUCUCCAUCUUAAGUAUCUUUAUCUUGUUCUCCCUUAUGUCCCCCUUAGAGAUCCCUCUAUCACCUUUAUUACUUCUCUGUAGAGCUUCACAAUGAUCAUGUAUUACUCAAAUGCGUAUUAAAAGUGUCAUAUUCACAGUUUCAAUCUAUGUUACUACUUCAGUAUUCCUCAAAUAAGUCUAAGAGUUCCAGAUAAGCCCACUACAUCUGCUUUGGAAUUAAGAAAAGCUGUUGAGUUGGAAAAGGCAAUUUGGUUAGGAAUGUUCUUCUGGUGAAGAGGUGCUGGUGAACAUCUUGCCCUUAACACUGUUAUACUACCACAUACAGACAUGUCAGCUUCACACCCUGAACAUCAGGUUACUGUUUAAUUACUACCCUGUGUCUCCUUUCUCAUAAAAUUAUGGUCUUUCAUAAGAAUUUUGUCCAAUAUCCAGAAAACUCCUGAGGAGACAGAGCAACAUUCCACCUCAGAAAAACCCAUGGAAAUGCAGAGCGCCGUGAAACCAGAGUUUUCAGCACCAGCCUCAAUUAGGACAUAAAGUAGGUAAUGGGAGCUGAAGUCAUCCACCUUGGUGCCCCACAAUGAAAACCAUAAACCAUUAACACAUUUUAACAACUCCCCAACUGCAUUCAAGAUAGCCUUUCAGCAGUAAUUUAAACCUGGUAAGUACCUGCAGCAGCUAUUUAAGUAAUCAGAAGCCCCAGAUUAGGAAUACAAUGUGCAUCCUCUUUGAUUUCUUUCUUUGCCCGGAGCUAUAGGUAGCUAAUUCUUUAAAAUGUGAAAGGUUAGUGCACAGAAUAAAUAGACAUCAUGGAUAAAGCCA
rnacentral:lncRNA from 1 species